AACUUUAACACCAAACUAAUAAAGAUGACAUUCAGCACUCACACUGCUAUCUAGCGAAUCACCACCACUGCUACAUUCAAACCCAAUGUGGUCACCCACCGCCAUCUCUCAACACCAGCAGCCACUAAAUGUCUCACAAGGAAGCCGUUGGGAGGGGAGCCACCCCACCACCCGAGGAAGAAUCGAGGCCUCAGCUAACAUGUCACUGACUCGUCCAUUCCGUUCGAAGCCAGCUUCCAGGGAAUACCACAGCGAGCCUACUGCCACUCUACGCACCACGCUACACCACGCUACACCACGUUACGCCACGUUUCACCACACCACGCUACACCACGUUACACCACGUUACACUACACUGCACUACACCACACCACACUAUACACAAGGUACAUCUCGCAUCCACACACCAACUAGGUUAUAGGCGGUCGACCCCCCGAGCGACCGUGCCUUCGAGUGCACCACCUGCUGGGAUCUAACCACAUCAAAUACAAAUUUAUACACGUGGAUUGUUUCAUCACACAUGCUACGAUCUGGAUUCAUCGCGACUAUCAUAGAUAUAUCUUCGAGUCCUUGCAGUGCUUUCUGGAAUAAUUGCGUUAGUUUUGACUCGCGGAACGGGAUGACUAUCUUCGCGCCGGUUUUUGUGCUUUUCGGAUUGAACUUAUGCAUCUACCCAAAACUAACAAUGAAUUAUUGAUGUUGUUUGAUUCAUUUAAACGACACCCGACAUUAUUUGUCUUCUUGCAUCGUUCGGACCCAGCCAAGUCACAGAAAUUCAUGCUACCAAUCACAUAAUUAUUUGAUUCGAUACUCGUGGAUUGUACAAGCGUAAUUGUAAAGAUACAGUGUGAUCUACUAGAGUGUGAGUUCAUCGAUGUAGCUGCAUAGUUUAAAUUUAACAAACCAUGCUGCAGAAUGCAAUAUGCAUCAUGACCGUUUGAUACAUACACUUGUUUCAAGUCUUUAAUGUAUGUUUCGCCAUUAUUGUUGUAAAUUUUGAGUUUUUGCGUGUUUUUCACCCCGCUUGGGGAUUCAAGCAGAUCAUACACACUUUCAUUGUAGAUUUUAGCAAAAGAGCAAAAGAAUGUGAUAUCGUAAAUACAAAGUUUUCGAUUAUUCCCGUCUGCUCUUUGUGCGAUGCUUCGUAGCUUCCCCCUCCAAGCAUAGACGUGUGUAUGUGUGUACGUGUGGGUUGAAGUUGACCGGUAGAUGUUUUUGUUUGGAGAAGGAAAGUCGCUUUCUCUGUCUGUCCCUUUGUAUGCUUAAAUCUUUGAAACUGCGCAACGGAUUUUUUUAAAAUUGCGGACGUAGCGUUUUCGGCGGUGCCGGCCGGCCGCCCGGUGCGGCAAGAGCGUGCCUAUAAAUAGCGCGUCUGAGGCCGCGGUUUUCCUGUAGCACUUUGAAUUUAGCAGCGAAGAUAUUCCAAAGACAGCAGGAAAUCUUCAUGGUAUAGGAAAGGUGGAUAGUUUUACUCCAAAUUUAACGCGUGCGGGCCACGGGCAGUAAUGAAUAAAUCAAAAAUACUGGAUCGAUUUUAAUCACAUAGGCUAUAUAUUUUAAACCCGUGCGAAGCCGUAGCGGGUCGCUAUGUUUUUAUAUACAACAUUCACAGUUUUUCUGUAGUGUAUUUAGUAUCAGUAUUGCAACCGUGCGAAGCCGGGGCGGGUCGCUAGUCAGUUAUAAAAGUUCAGAUCUGCAGAGCAGAAUAAAAGAACUCUACAGAAUCAAAGGUUCAGUAUCCAGUGAAUUAAGAGACAUGGAACACAAGAGGCAGAAACUCCAACAAGACAUACAACUGUAUACCAAAAACAUAGAACAAUUGAAAGCUGAAUUGCUACAUCAACAGACUGAACUAAACAGAUUGAAAAUAUCAGUGGAGCAAGCCCAGGUAGCUCAAAGGGAAGCCCUGCAACAAAACACACCGGAAUUGGCUUUACCAAAGAGACUAACUGCCAAUACAUUCCCAUUGAGUUAUCCUGCAGUGAGCAAAGAAGAAUCACACACUUGCAGGAUGUAUAAAUGUGUGUCAUAUUGCAUACGAUUUAAUUUAUUCUUUGACUUUCUUGUAUUAUGUCAGUUAAUAAAUUAUAAAUAUUAA